AAAGCCAAUUGGAUGGUCGCGGAAGUAAGAACCGAAAGGUUGCUUCUGAGGAAAGUCCGGGCUCCAUAGGGCAAGGUGCUGGGUAACACCCAGUGGGAGAAAUCCUAAGGACAGUGCAACAGAGAUAUACCGCCGAUAGCGGAAGUUGGUCCCUGAGACUGACUUUUCGAGUAGGUAAGGGUGGAAAGGUGAGGUAAGAGCUCACCAGCGACAUGGCGACUUGUCGGCUAUGUAAACCCCAUCU
rnacentral:RNase_P_RNA from 1 species